rnacentral:lncRNA from 1 species
AAAUUUUUUUGCUGAAGGGAAGUGAUUUUUUCCCCAAAGUGAAAUAACAUAAGGUGUUGUCUCUUGCUUCUGAUUAAUCUUGAGAUGGCAUCAUUUAUUAUUGUAAAAUAAUACUGUUCCUGUAUGUUUCUGAAAACAAUAUAGGGGUUAAAUUUUUUGUUUUGGAAAUUAUGAGGAAGAACUCCCCCCUCAUGUUGCACACUAACACAAAAGAUGAAUGACCAGUGCGGCAGUGCCUAAAGUUUAUUACAAUUUGUAAUGCCAAUAUAAGCAACCAUUUUUAACACUAGGAAACAUCUUUUUUGUGUUCAAAAAGGGAC